AAGGCCCCUUUUGAACAGGAUGGGACCCUCCAAAAUGCCCAUUUGUAUCUGCAGCUUUCUUUGCACUCCCCACAGGCUGCUGUCAUAUGAAUGCUGCAACAUAGGGAGCAGGCUGCACAUGAGGGUUUCUCUGAAUUAAUUUUGGUUUUGAUUUCCUGCCUUUGAACUGCCUUUUGCUUGAGGUGAACUGGGUAGCAAUGCUGUAGCGACGAGUAGAGAAGGCUGAUCUGUGUGCUUAGUAGUUUCCUUCUCCUCUCCUCUCCAAGACCUGUUUUGCCUGCUUUGUAUUAGGAUCUGAAUGUCCUUGUUUUCUCCCAAAGCAUCCUAGCAGAGUCAUGGGAUGUGUUAUGGCAAAUGCAAAACCCAAUAGUCAUUGAGCCUUUGAUAAUCUCUGUUCUGCAGAAGUAAGCUUUCAGUCAUCUGCUUCUCCACGAGGGAGGUGGUGUAGUGUGUGGACCCUGCUAGCUGGUGGAAAAGCUUCUGGCUUCUUCUUAAACCUGUGUGUGCUCUCAGCCUUUGAAUUUCUGUUUGACACAAGUCUCUGGCAGGAUUGAUGGAGUGCAUGAAGCUUUUUCCAGUAUGUCAGAGGGGUCUCUGACAGAGCUGAUCUUCCUAAUUCUCUAGUGACACCAGGGAUGACAGAUGAUACUCAGAGGAACCCCUUCUUCAGUGGCAGCCAUAGUGACCUUCAGUGCAGUCCUGCAGUGCAGAGUCACAGGGCACGGCAGAGCCAGCCAUACUCCUCGUGUGGCCCUAGCUACCCAGCAGUCCUGUGGAUGGCACAAGGGGCAGAGCUGAAGCUGCCCUGCUUCUUGAGGAGCUACUCAGAGCGACUGGGUUUUAUAAACGAUGCUCCACAAAUACACUGCAUCUCAAGCUUGACAUCUGUUCUGUUUGGCCUUAAGUAUUGGUUACAAUAAUACAGAGAUUUAGUAAAUG